CAGUAGCCACGGGAAAACGAAGGGGGCUAGCGUUGUUCGGAAUCACUGGGCGUAAAGGGCGCGUAGGCGGAUCACGCAGUCAGAUGUGAAAUUCCUGGGCUUAACCUGGGGGCUGCAUUUGAGACGCGUGGUCUAGAGUGUGAAAGAGGGUCGUGGAAUUCCCAGUGUAGAGGUGAAAUUCGUAGAUAUUGGGAAGAACACCGGUGGCGAAGGCGGCGACCUGGUUCAUGACUGACGCUGAGGCGCGAAAGCGUGGGGAGCAAACAGGAUUAGAGACCCCAGUAGUCCCUGUCUCUUAUAC
rnacentral:rRNA from 1 species